AAUGGGGGAAACCCUGAUCCAGCGACGCCGCGUGUGUGAAGAAGGCCUGCGGGUUGUAAAGCACUUUUAGUGGGGAUGAAAAGCUCAGGGCUAAUACCCCUGGGUCUUGACCUAACCCAAAGAAAAAGCACCGGCUAACUCUGUGCCAGCAGCCGCGGUAAUACAGAGGGUGCGAGCGUUAAUCGGAAUUACUGGGCGUAAAGCGUGCGUAGACGGUCAUCUAAGUCGGAUGUGAAAUCCCCGGGCUCAACCUGGGAAUUGCAUUCGAUACUGGAUGGCUAGGGUGCGGAAGAGGGAAGCGGAAUUUCCGGUGUAGCGGUGAAAUGCGUAGAUAUCGGAAGGAACACCAGUGGCGAAAGCGGCUUCCUGGUCCAGCACCGACGUUCAGGCACGAAAGCGUGGGGAGCAAA
rnacentral:rRNA from 1 species